rnacentral:rRNA from 1 species
UACGUAGGGGGCAAGCGUUGUCCGGAUUUAUUGGGCGUAAAGAGCGUGUAGGCGGCCAGACAGGUCCGUUGUGAAAACUCGAGGCUCAACCUCGAGAUGUCGAUGGAAACCGUCUGGCUAGAGUCCGGAAGAGGAGUGUGGAAUUCCUGGUGUAGCGGUGAAAUGCGCAGAUAUCAGGAAGAACACCUAUGGCGAAGGCAGCUCACUGGGACGGUAUUGACGCUGAGACGCGAAAGCGUGGGGAGCAAACAGG